AUUGAACGCUGGCGGCAGGCCUAACACAUGCAAGUCGAGCGAGCGGCGGACGGGUGAGUAAUGUAUGGCGACUGACCGAUCGAGCGGGAUAAAUACCUGAAACGGUAGCUAAUUCAGCCUACUCUCGGAUAAUCUAUAUGGGUGUAGCUAGUUGGUGAGGUAAUGGCUCACCUAGUCGACGAUCCCUAGCUGGUCUGAGAGGAUGAUCAGCCAUACUGGAACUGAGACACGGUCCAGACUCCUACGGAGGCAGCAGUGGGGAAUAUUGCACAAUGGGGGCAAGCCUGAUGCAGCCAGGCCGCGUGUAUGAAGAAGGCCCUAGGGUUGUAAAGGACUUUCAGUGGGGAGGCGUUACUGACAGAAGAAGCACCGGCUAACUCCGUGCCAGCAGCCGCGGUAAUAC
rnacentral:rRNA from 1 species